UACGUAGGGUGCAAGCGUUGUUCGGAAUUACUGGGCGUAAAGGGCUCGUAGGCGGCCAACUAAGUCGGAUGUGAAAUCCCCAGGCUUAACCUGGGAACUGCAUCCGAUACUGGUUGGCUUGAAUCCGGGAGAGGGAUGCGGAAUUCCAGGUGUAGCGGUGAAAUGCGUAGAUAUCUGGAGGAACACCGGUGGCGAAGGCGGCAUCCUGGACCGGCAUUGACGCUGAGUGAGCGAAAGCCAGGGGAGCAAACGGG
rnacentral:rRNA from 1 species